UACGAGAGCCUCGAGCGUUAUCCGGAAUUAUUGGGCGUAAAGGGUGCGUAGGUUGUUCUGUUAGUCUUUUGUCAAAUUUCUGGGCUCAACCUAGAAUCCGCAAAAGAUACGGCAGGACUUGAAAGUGCGAGGGGUGUACGGAACUCAUGGUGUAGGGGUGAAAUCCGUUGAUAUCAUGGGGAACACCAAAAGCGAAAGCAGUACACUGGCGCAUAUUUGACACUGAAGCACGAAAGCGUGGGUAGCGAAUGGG
rnacentral:rRNA from 1 species